rnacentral:rRNA from 1 species
AAACCAACCGGGAUUGCCUUAGUAACGGCGAGUGAAGCGGCAAAAGCUCAAAUUUGAAAUCUAGUACCUUCGGUGCUCGAGUUGUAAUUUGUAGAGGGAUACUUUGGGGCCGUUCCUUGUCUAUGUUCCUUGGAACAGGACGUCAUAGAGGGUGAGAAUCCCGUGUGGCGAGGAGUGCGGUUCUUUGUAAAGUGCCUCCGAAGAGUCGAGUUGUUUGGGAAUGCAGCUCUAAGUGGGUGGUAAAUUCCAUCUAAAGCUAAAUAUUGGCGAGAGACCGAUAGCGAACAAGUACAGUGAUGGAAAGAUGAAAAGAACUUUGAAAAGAGAGUGAAAAAGUACGUGAAAUUGUUGAAAGGGAAGGGCAUUUGAUCAGACAUGGUGUUUUGUGCCCUCUGCUCCUUGUGGGUAGGGGAAUCUCGCAUUUCACUGGGCCAGCAUCAGUUUUGGUGGUCGGACAAAUCCGUAGGAAUGUAGCUUACCUCGGUAAGUGUUAUAGCCUGCGGGAAUACGGCCAGCCGGGACUGAGGACUGCGACUUUUGCCAAGGAUGAUGGCAUAAUGGUUAUAUGCCGC